rnacentral:misc_RNA from 1 species
GUUAGUUACAUAGAAAGGAUGAUUCCCAAGACAGAUAAGGUAUCAAAGGAGGAUGUGGAGAUUAACAUAGGAGAAGGUGAAAACCCUGAGUUCUACACAGAGGAGCAUGAAAAGCUUUUAGGUGAUUGCCAGAAUGCUUGGACUCUCUAUGUUGAUGGUUAUGGUGAAGAUGGUCAGCGUGUAUAUGAUCCUGAUAAUGGCAAGUCAUGCCAUCAGUGCAGGCAGAAAACUCUUGGUCAACGCACUGCGUGUAGCAAUUGCAAGCUCGGUCAAGGACAAUUCUGUGGAGAUUGUCUGUACAUGAGGUAUGGAGAGAAUGUCAUUGAAACAAAUGAAAAUACAAACUGGAUUUGCCCUGUCUGCCGAGGAAUAUGCAAUUGCAGUCGAUGCAGGCGUGAAAAGGGGUAUGCAGCAACUGGUGCAAUCUACAGAAAGGUACUGCGUCUUGGUUACAAAUCUGUGGCUCACUACCUUGUCAAAACUCGAAUGGUAGUGACCACGAAUAUCUAAGCUCUGCAGAUUCACCUUCCAGGAAGAGUACAGUGCCAUUCACAUAGUUCACUAAUACUCUCUCAACUUCUCAAACUGAUGAUAACAAAACUUUGAAGGGGGGAGAACGCACACAUUUUGAC